CCUACGGGGGGCAGCAGUGGGGAAUAUUGGGCAAUGGACGCAACUCUGACCCAGCAACGCCGCGUGAAUGAUGACGGUCUUCGGAUUGUAAAGUUCUUUUCUAAGGGAAGAAGAAAGUGACGGUACCUUAGGAAUAAGCCUCGGCUAACUACGUGCCAGCAGCCGCGGUAAUACGUAGGAGGCAAGCGUUAUCCGGAAUGACUGGGCGUAAAGGGUGCGUAGGUGGUUUGACAAGUUAGUAGCGAAACUCCGGAGCUCAACUUCGGAAGUACUACUAAAACUGUUGGACUUGAGUGCAGGAGGGGCAAGCGGAAUUCGUGGUGUAGCGGUGGAAUGCGUAGAUAUUAGGAAGAACACCAGUGGCGAAGGCGGAUUGCUGGACUGUAACUGACACUGAGGCACGAAAGCGUGGGUAGCGAACAGGAUUAGAUACCCUAGUAGUC
rnacentral:rRNA from 1 species